AGUAACACGUGGGUAACCUGCCCAUCAGAAGGGGAUAACACUUGGAAACAGGUGCUAAUACCGUAUAACAAUCGAAAUCGCAUGGUUUCGGUUUGAAAGGCGCUUUUGCGUCACUGAUGGAUGGACCCGCGGUGCAUUAGCUAGUUGGUGAGGUAACGGCUCACCAAGGCAACGAUGCAUAGCCGACCUGAGAGGGUGAUCGGCCACAUUGGGACUGAGACACGGCCCAA
rnacentral:rRNA from 1 species